CGACCCGGUCCAUUUCAAACUGGGUCGACCCAAUCCAUACCCAAAUACCCAACACCCCCCCUAUCUUGCAUUUCAAAAAACAAAACAAAAGAAAAACCCUAAAGAAACUAUCCGCCCCCCACCUUUUCUUCUUCUUCUUCUCCAAACUCUAAAACACACACAGCCAUGGCCAUGCCGCUUCUGCCUUCUGCUGCGUCUUCAUCUUCUCCAUGUCGAGCUCAAAAAGCUCAUCCAUGGCUGCCCUCUUCUUCGUCAAGUUCCAGCAGCGACGUGAACGACCACUAUCGCCACUGUUUCAUCGAAGCCAAACCCCAUCGCUGCCUGCUUCAUCGAGCUUGAGCUCGACGCGCCGCUGCUGCAUCCUCCAGUUCCUCCGUGCUGCUGCAGCUGCUUCUGCUUUCUUCUUCCUCCACCUUCACGCUCAAACGACCCCUCAGAACUGCUUCGUCUUCUUCUUCAUGCUGCUGCUACAGCUUCGCCAUGGCUGCCCCACCCCGUCACCACCUGCUGCUGCCUGCUAGCUGCUGCUGCGUCCUUUCCUCUUAACCGUUGCUGCUGCUUCUUUUCCUCCAUUUUUGAUGCUGCCACUGCUUCGUUAUCUUCUCCAACUCCUCCGGGCUGCUGCUGCUGCUCACGUUUCUGCUUCUGCUCCCCGCUGCUUUUGCUU
rnacentral:lncRNA from 1 species